rnacentral:lncRNA from 1 species
GUAUGAGGUAUACGGAGUUGGUAUUGCUGUUGCUGUGCGGCCCAGUUUAUGCGAGUAUACUGCAAAGCGCAGGAUGAUUUCUCGCGCUGCUGUAUCGGCCAAUUACCGCAGACGAAGGACGCGGGUCGGCUCCGCGAAGAGAGGACGCGGGGGACACCCACGCAUGGAAAGAAAUGCGACUUAGUCGUUGCGCCGUGGAAGAGCAGCCGGAUGCGCACCCUCACUCGGAACAAAAGGGGAGACGGUCCGAGCUGAAUGGGAAGCGUUCGGGGAGACGGGCGUGAAGAGGAAGGAGUCGGGCGCUUGAGGUCACCGGCACCA